rnacentral:lncRNA from 1 species
CAACAACCAAUUUUACUUAUUUAAAACCCGGGAGACUCUAUAAUAUCACAGUGACUGCUUUUGCUGGAAACUCCUGGAGUACAUCUGACCAGGUGUCAUUUGCCACUGUUCCCAAAGCUCCAGGGUCCAUCAUCUUCAGUAGCCGGAGCAACUCCUCACUCCAGCUGCAGUGGGCAACACCUGAUGAGAUGACCGGAGCUCCAGACAUCAUAUACAGUAUCACCUAUCAGGCUGUGGGUGGUCCCAGUCAAAACACAACUUCCACUCAAAAUAACACUUUGCUUUCACUUCUUGACUCUGGAACCAACUACACUGUAACAGUAAAAACUAUUGGACCUGGAAAUUUAAGCAGCACGGUUGUUCAGAAUUCUUCUUUUACCUUGCCAAACCCUGUGAGGAAUCUAAUAGUCAGCCCUGAAUCUACUAUUUCACUAAAUGUGAACUGGUUAAAUCCACUGG